rnacentral:rRNA from 1 species
UGGGGAAUUUUGCACAAUGGAGGAAACUCUGAUGCAGCGACGCCGCGUGAGUGAUGAAGAUCUUCGGAUUGUAAAACUCUGUCCUUAGUGAAGAUAAUGACAGUAACUAAGAAGCAAGCCCUGGCUAAAUACGUGCCAGCAGCCGCGGUAAUACGUAUGGGGCAAGCGUUGUCCGGAAUUAUUGGGCGUAAAGGGUACGUAGGCGGUUUAAUAAGUCCUAAUUAAAAGGCUAUGGCUCAACCAUAGUAUGGUUAGGAAACUGUUGAACUUGAGUAGAUGAGGGGAAAGUGGAAUUCCAUGUGUAGCGGUGAAAUUCGUAGAUAUAUGGAGGAACACCAAUGGCGAAGGCAACUUUCUGGAAUCAAACUGACGCUGAGGUACGAAGGCGUGGGGAGCAAACAGG